CAGAGACGUUUAAUGGGUAGCGAAAAAUAGAGAAAGAAGGUGGUCGGAAAACACCCGGAAAUAUCGUAACCCGCAGGUUGAAACGCCUGAAUUUUUCGUUCCCACAAGUGGGUUACGAUACGUGGCGAAUUCUCUGUUUCUCCUAAUGAUUAACCAGGUUCGUUUCUCAUGGGGGCAAUCUCAUCAUUUUACCUGGUUUUACACAUUAUAUGGACUCUGACGUGGAAAACUUCGUAACAGCUAGACAACAUGGGUUAAACAAAUUAUUUGACGGAGUUAAUUACACGUGUUUCUUGAAUUUGGAAUUACUUUUGUCUGAAUAUUGGAAAGAAAUCAAAUUGGGGAAAAAGAUGACAUAGGGCUGAACUGAGUUGCUGGUCGAAGUUGGCUACUGGUUGAAGUUCGACUUGCUUGUGGUUUGCCGAAGAUUGUGGAGUCGACGACACUGACGGAGGAACCUCUAAAUGUCUUAUGAAGUAAAGUGUAAGCGCAGAAGAGCAAUUUAUGACAAAAAUAAGGUUGGCUCAGUAAAAGAGGAGGGAUAUAUAUCGAAGAAAAGGGUAUUAAAGCAUUGAAAGCCAAGGAGAAACACAAUAACCUUGUACCCGGGAAUUUUUAAGGAUGAUAGUUUAACUUACGGUGGAGGUGUCAAAGCUAGAUCAGAGGUUGUGAAGGAACACUCAAAGGGGAGUAGGAGGGGCGAAUUCCGUCAUUUCACACGAGCAAUAACAAAUGCAGCCGCAAUCAAACAACAACCGACGUCUGCCACGUCAGCACCUACUAAAUGGGCUCACACUGCAACUGCUAAAGUUACGGGUACUUUUAGUCACAGCCUGGUUGAUUAUUUGGGCCUGUCAGUUAAGGGGUUGUCACAGGAUGGUGAAGUUAGAGUGAAUAAGUGAGAUAUAAAUGGUGUGGAGAUGACCUGGGAAAUAUCGCUGUCAGUAAUGAGAGAAUUAAGAAAAAAAUAUAGGAAAAGAAAAGGGAUUUUUUUGGACCCACAUAACUCUAGUCCCGCGUAAAUUGCCUGAGCCUACUCAGUACUCACCAGUCACCCCACCUUUCUACCAUCCACGCGCUUUUUUUUCUUAAUUAUGCAUGUAUAUAUUUAUCCUCUGAUUUCCUUAUUCUAGAAAAUAAAUUACACUUUUAAUUUAUCUUGGAAUAAGAGUUUACUAGAUGAAACUCAUGAAAGCACGGUUUAAUAAUACAUAAAUCUCAAAACAUUA